AUGUGUCUUCGAUCAUUUUCCUGACAUUUGAGUAAUUUGGCACCGAGUAACAGGAAGCAACAAUAAUUUUGGCUGCGAACCUAGCCAAUGAUUGGUCAAACCGACGUCACGUGAUUUCACCGAAAGCCGCUCCACCAUUUUUCCUUAUGUGGCCACAAGGGGCGCUAGAAGACUUCGGCUUUGCGCGUAACCAGUUAAUGAGUGACGUCACCUACAAGCUAAAUUCUUGAGUUAAAUUUUAGAACGAGCAAGGUGUGUUUCCUCAUUGACUGUCAUGUCGUGAUUGCUAGUCAAGCCAGUGCUCAUCACUUUCUCUUUCUACAAACACCGUUUUAUUCUACACUUGUGACAGCUGAUCAUGAACUUGUUUUUAUUCUUUCUUCUGGCUGUGGAAAUUCACAGCGUGGCGCCUGUGAUGCACACCCUGGAGCAUAUCUACAUGGUGUCCUCUGAAGUUACAAACAUUCCAGAUUAUGUGAACAAUGGUUACGUUGAUGAAGUUGAGAUGUACAACUACAACAGCAACAGCAGGAGAAGAGAACCCAAACAGGACUGGAUGAAGAACAUCACAGCAGGGGACAGGUUUCUUCCGCAGUUCUACAGAAAUUAUCUGGAAACUGCAAAGAGGAGCUUCAACCAAACUGGAGGUGUUCACGUUCUCCAGGUGACGCUCGGCUGUGAAUGGGAUGAAGAUACUGACGAGAGUGAAGGUUGGUUUCAGGCCGGGUACGAUGGAGAAGACAUCCUAUCAUUGGACAUGAAGACUUGGACGUGGACUGCAGCAAAACCACAAGCUGUCCCCACCAAAGACAUGUUGGACCAAAACAAAGCUCAACUAGACUAUGCAAAGUAUUUCUUCACUGAAGAGUGUCCGCAAAACUUGAAGAGAUUUGUGAACUAUGGCAGGAAGGUUCUAAUGAGAAGAGAGCUUCCAGAGGUGUUUCUCCUCCAGAAGACGCCGUCCUCGCCGGUCAGCUGCUUGGCAACAGGUUUCUACCCCAACAGAGCGGUCUUGUUUUGGAGGAAAGACGGCCAGGAGAUCCACCAGGACGUGGCGCACGGAGAGCUCCUCCCCAACCACGACGGAACCUUCCAGAUGACCGUGGACCUGGAUGUGGAUGUGACGGCCGACGUGGAGGGCAAGUAUGAAUGUGUGUUUCAGCUGUCUGGCGUCAAGGAGGACAUGGUCACCAAGCUGGAGAGAAGAAGCAUCCUGAGCAAUGCAAGCCGUGAAGACAAAUGGAGCAUCACCGUUGUGGCGGUCCUCGUUGUGGCCGUCCUCAUUGGGGCGGUCCUCGUUGUGGCGGUCAUUGUCAUCAUUGUCAAGCGUCUCAAGAACAGACAAGGCUGCAAAGGUGCAGCCAUGUUUGACUUGACUUGAGGAGCUUCCACUCAAAGAUCCACAGAGACAGAGCACACACUCGCACACACAAACACGCACCGUGAGGACAAAGUGCACGUCACCUUCUUUCUCUUUCAUUUCAGUCAACUACGAUCCAGCUGCUCGUGACGGUGGCAUCGAGCUCUGAGAGAGGCUGAAGGCUGAGUUAGCUCACAUGGACUGUUUGCACCCCCAAAUGUUCUUCUGACUGUUUUUUUUGGAUCAUCAAGACGUUCUGUCUUUGUGUGUAAACCAAG